GAUGAACGCUGGCGGCGUGCCUAAUACAUGCCAGUCGAGCGAACAGAUGAGGAGCUUGCUCCUCUGACGUUAGCGGCGGACGGGUGAGUAACACGUGAUAACCUACCUAUAAGACUGGGAUAACUUCGGGAAACCGGAGCUAAUACCGGAUAAUAUAUUGAACCGCAUGGUUCAAUAGUGAAAGACGGUUUUGCUGUCACUUAUAGAUGGAUCCGCGCCGCAUUAGCUAGUUGGUAAGGUAACGGCUUACCAAGGCAACGAUGCGUAGCCGACCUGAGAGGGUGAUCGGCCACACUGGAACUGAGACACGGUCCAGACUCCUACGGGAGGCAGCAGUAGGGAAUCUUCCGAAAUGGGCGAAAGCCUGACGGAGCAACGCCGCGUGAGUGAUGAAGGUCUUCGGAUCGUAAAACUCUGUUAUUAGGGAAGAACAAAUGUGUAAGUAACUAUGCACGUCUUGACGGUACCUAAUCAGAAAGCCACGGCUAACUACGU
rnacentral:rRNA from 1 species